UAGCUCAGUCGGUAGAGCGACGGACUGUUAAUCCGCAGGUCGCAGGUUCGAGCCCUGC
rnacentral:tRNA from 1 species